UCCCUGGUAGCUCAGAUGGUAAAGCAUCUGCCUGCAAUGUGGGAGACCUGGGUUCAAUCCCUAGGUCGGGAA
rnacentral:tRNA from 1 species